AACCUGUGGCGCGCUCCGCGGUUCCGGCGCCUGAAGUUUUAGCUGCGGUGGCGGCGGCAGUCGGGACCGACUGCAAGGCAGGUUGAGAUGAUGGAUCUGAGGCUUGCAGCUCGCAGUCCCAACGAGCCUUAGGGACCAGGGCUACCAAAAGGGUGGGGAGAACGGUGGUGGCAUCUGUCUGUUGCCUGGGAUCCAGGCGCCCGGUUGGGGAAUCCUUACUUCAGGAAGCGCAGCCGCGGCUCUGUGUUUUGAGAGUGCAAAUGUCAUUUGUCAGAGUGAACCGCUGUGGUCCCCGAGUUGGUGUAAGAAAGACACCGAAAGUAAAGAAGAAGAAAACUUCAGUGAAACAAGAAUGGGAUAAUACCGUGACUGAUCUAACCGUUCAUCGGGCAACUCCCGAAGAUCUGGUACGCCGUCAUGAAAUACACAAAUCGAAGAAUAGAGCAUUAGUACACUGGGAACUCCAAGAAAAAGCUUUGAAGAGAAAAUGGAGGAAGCAGAAACCAGAAACUUUAAAUCUUGAGAAAAGAAGAUUGUCUAUCAUGAAGGAGAUUCUUUCUGAUCAAUACCAGAUGCAAGAUGUGUUGGAGAAAUCUGAUCAUCUAAUAGCUGCAGCAAAAGAGCUGUUUCCUCGUAGGCGCACAGGGUUUCCAAAUGUAACAGUGGCUCCUGAUUCCUCUCAGGGUCCCAUUGUGGUAAAUCAAGACCCUAUCACCCAAUCUAUCUUUAAUGAGUCUGUCAUAGAACCUCAGGCUCUUAAUGAUGUAGAUGGUGAAGAAGAAGGAACUGUUAAUAGCCAGUCAGGAGAAAGUGAGAAUGAGAAUGAGUUGGAUAACUCUCUAAACUCUCAGUCUAACACGAAUACAGACAGGUUUCUCCAACAACUAACAGAAGAGAAUUUUGAGUUAAUUAGUAAGUUGUGGACUGACAUUCAGCAGAAAAUAGCAACCCAGUCACAAAUAACUCCUCCAGGAACGCCAUCAUCUGCUCUUUCAUCAGGGGAGCAAAGAGCUGCUCUGAAUGCUACCAAUGCUGUCAAGAGACUCCAAACCAGGCUUCAGCCUGAAGAAUCUACUGAGACUCUAGACUCAAGCUACGUUGUGGGACACGUGCUGAACUCAAGGAAGCAAAAACAGCUGUUAAAUAAAGUGAAAAGGAAACCGAAUUUGCAUGCUCUUUCCAAGCCGAAGAAAAACAUAUCAUCAGGUAGCACAACCUCUGCAGACUUACCAAAUAGGACUAAUUCCAACCUGGAUGUCCUCAAACACAUGAUACAUGAAGUGGAACAUGAAAUGGAAGAAUAUGAGCGGUGGACAGGUCGCGAGGUCAAGGGUCUGCAGAGCAGUCAGGGUCUUACAGGCUUCACUUUGUCGCUGGUGAGCUCCCUCUGUCGCCUGGUUCGGUACCUUAAAGAGAGUGAGAUCCAGCUACGUAAAGAAGUAGAGACAAGGCAACAACUGGAACAAGUAUUAGGUGAUCAUCGAGAGCUCAUUGAUGCUCUGACAGCUGAAAUUCUUCGUCUUAGAGAAGAAAACGCUGCUACACAGGCAAGACUUCAGCAGUACAUGGUCACAACAGAUGAGCAACUGAUAUCACUCACACAUGCUAUUAAGAACUGUCCUGUGAUAAAUAACAGACAAGAAAUUCAGGCAUCAGAAAGCGGAGCCACAGGUAGAAGAGUUAUGGACAGUCCAGAGCGUCCAGUUGUAAAUGCCAAUGUCUCAGUGCCAUUGAUGUUCAGAGAGGAAGUGGCUGAAUUCCCACAGGAAGAGUUGCCCGUUAAACUGUCUCAGGUGCCAGACCCUCCAGAUAACAUGAAUCUGGCCAAGAAUUUUCCAGCACAUAUUUUUGAGCCAGCUGUGUUGUUAACACCACCCAGGCAGAAGAGCAACUUAAAAUUCUCUCCUCUUCAGGACGUAUUGAGAAGGACUGUUCAAACUCGUCCUGCUCCACGACUUCCUCCAACUGUGGAAAUAAUUGAGAAGGAACAAAAUUGGGAAGAGAAGACCUUACCUAUUGAUACAGACAUUCAGAAUUCAAGUGAAGAGAAUCGUCUCUUCACUCAGAGAUGGAGAGUCUCUCACAUGGGAGAAGAUUUGGAGAACAAAACUCAGGCUCCUUUUGUUAACCUCUCACAGCCCCUCUGCAAUUCCCAUUCCAACACUCAACAGUCAAGAAGCCCCACAUUCUCAGAAGAGCUCCCAGUACUGGGAGAUGGGCAGCAGCUGAGAACAAAUGAGUCAUUAAUACAAAGAAAGGACAUAAUGACACGAAUUGCUGAUUUGACAUUGCAGAAUUCAGCUAUCAAGGCACAUAUGAAUAAUAUUAUUGAGCCCAGAGGAGAGCAAGGGGAUGGACUCCGGGAGUUGAACAAACAAGAAAGUGCAAGUGACAUGACUUCUACUUUUCCAGUAGCACAGUCUCUAACACCAGGUAGUAUGGAGGAACGGAUUGCAGAAUUGAAUCGACAAAGUAUGGAGGCUCGUGGAAAACUACUGCAGUUGAUAGAGCAGCAGAAACUUGUUGGUUUGAAUCUUUCUCCACCAAUGUCACCUGUUCAGUUACCUCUCAGAGCAUGGACUGAAGGAGCAAAGAGGACAAUUGAGGUAUCUAUUCCAGGAGCAGAAGCCCCAGAAAGCUCAAAAUGUAGUACUGUCUCUCCCGUCAGCGGGAUAAAUACAAGAAGAUCUUCCGGGGCUACUGGUAAUUCUUGUUCUCCACUAAAUGCCACCUCAGGAAGUGGGAGAUUCACACCUCUUAAUCCAAGAGCAAAGAUUGAGAAACAGAAUGAAGAAGGCUGGUUUGCUCUUUCUACCCAUGUAUCAUAAGUGAAGUCAAGUCUCACUGAUCAUUGCUGUUCAUCACUUUUUCCAUCAAGUGAAAUAUACAGCCUUAAAAACAAUAGGCCUGGGAGUGUUUGUUUAUAUUUGCUUAAGCAGUGUCAUGAGGCGGAGAAGGCCCGACCAAAGGGCGGAUAGGUACCGGGUUCCCGGAGAGCUGGACGCCGGCCGCGCAUGCGCCCCACGGCCCGCCCUGGUUCCGCCUCCCUGGAAGAGGGGUGGCGUUGUCUCGGUAACCGGAGUAAACGGAGGCCUCCGGCAGACGCUGUGAAGAGAGGAGCCGCGGCGGUCAGUACCUUCGAGGAAAUGAAGGAACCAGAUGAUCAGGAUACUGAUGGGGAGAAAUCAGUUACAUCAAAGAGUGAUGGGAAGAAGUCUCUGAGGUCUUCUAAAUCAGAAUCAAGAUCUCCUGUUCAAGAAGAUAACACAUUUUUAGAAGAUGACACAGAUGAAACAUUUACCAAAGGGGAAGGAUCAUAUUUAGAAGAAGACUCAGAUGAGGAACGUUUGGAAGGAAGUUUGAGUUCAUUUCAGUAUGGUGAUUUGCAAAGCACUACAGUACCUCAGCAAACCCCUGCUCCAGCUGUGGAAGAAGCAGAGGAGGAAGUUAAGAAGAAAAUAUCAGAGAGCUUCUUCUAUGAUUAUAUGGAGCUUGCUUCGAUGCCUUUUGUGACUCUGGAUUCAAACAUACCACUGGAUCUUCUCACACUUGUACAUUCUUUUGGUUAUGACUGUAGAAAGCGAGCCAACCUACAACUUCUGGACGACAGUAUCGCCAUAUACAUAGCUGGGAACCAACUGAUCUUUCUGAAUUUGAAAACCAAGGAACAGAUCUACCUGCGAAGUAGCAGUGGUGAAGGAAUUGGCGUCAUUGGGGUUCAUCCACAUAAAACUUAUUUCACAGUAGCUGAAAAAGGGAGUUUUCCAGAUAUUAUCAUCUAUGAAUAUCCUUCUCUGAGACCAUACAGAGUCCUUCGAGGUUCUGGGAAAUGGCUUUUACGUUCACCGGUCUCAAGCUGCAGGGAUCACUAGGUCGAUUUGGCAAAACAAUCACUACUGAUAUAGAAGGCUACAUGGAGCUCCCAGAUGGGAAGGUGCUCUCAGGGUCAGAAUGGGGCAACAUGCUGCUUUGGGAAGGUGGUCUGAUCAAAGUGGAGCUCUGUCGAGGGACAAGCAAGUCAUGUCACAAUGGUCCCAUUAACCAGAUAAUGCUGUAUGAGGGUGAAGUUAUCACUGUUGGGUCAGAUGGAUAUGUUAGGAUAUGGGAUUUUGAGACAAUAGACACUGCUGAUGUAAUAGAUGAGACUGGAUUGUUGGAGAUUGAGCCUAUUAAUGAACUUCAAGUAGACAAGAAUGUGAAUCUCUUCUCUAUGAUAAAAAUGAAUGAAACUGGAAAUAACUUUUGGUUGGCUCAGGAUGCCAAUGGAGCCAUAUGGAAGCUUGACCUUAGUUUUUCAAAUAUUACCCAGGACCCAGAAUGCCUCUUCUCCUUCCAUUCUGGAGCUAUUGAAGCCGUGGCUGUUUCUCCUCUCACUUAUCUCAUGGCCACAACUGCCUUGGACUGCUCUGUUCGAAUCUAUGAUUUUGCUAGCAAAACUCCUUUGGCCCAGAUGAAAUUCAAACAAGGAGGUACUGCCCUUGUUUGGGUACCCCGAAUGGUAAACUUCACUGGAGCACAAAUUAUUGUAGGAUUUGAAGAUGGAGUUGUUCGAAUUCUUGAACUUUAUGAUCCAAAAGGGCUCACGAUUUUUGCGGGACGGAAGAAAAUUUUGGAUGCUGAUAUUCAGUUGAAACAGGUUUUCAAACCCCAUACUGCUUGUGUCACUGCUUUAGCUUAUGAACGUGAUGGGGAAAUUCUAGCCACAGGGAGUAAAGAUCAAACUGUUUUCUUCUUUGAAGUGGAAAGGGAUUAUAAGCCGAUUGGUUAUAUUAAUACUCCUGGACCUGUGUGUCAGUUAAUGUGGUCUCCCAUGUCUCAUCCUGAAAGUACUUUACUAAUUAUCUGUGAAAAUGGCUAUAUUCUUGAAGCUCCACUUCCAACCAUAAAGCAAGAAGAGGAUGAUCAUGAUGUAGUCUCCUAUGAAAUCAAAGACAUGUGCAUAAAAUGUUUCCAUUUUUCAAGUGUCAAAUCUAAGAUUCUGAGAUUAAUAGAAAUUGAAAAGAGGGAGAGACAAAGGGAGUUGAAGGAGAAAAUAAGGGAAGAAAGGAGGAACAAGCUAGCAGCAGAGAUGGGAGAAGAUGGAGAAAAAGAAUUUCAGGAGGAGGAAGAGGAGAAAGAGGAGGAGGAGGAGGAAGAAGAGCCAUUACCUGAAAUAUUUAUUCCGUCAACCCCCUCUCCCAUCCUCUGUGGAUUUUACUCAGAGCCAGGGAAGUUCUGGGUUUCUUUGGGUGGCUAUGAUUCUGGUUUUCUAUAUCACUGUGAGUUCCCCCCUUGUGAUGAAAGCAGUGAUUUCAAAGAACAAAAAGAUGAACCUAUUGAUGUCCGUUAUCUUGCGGAUACAGAGGACAAUCCCAUCCAAACUAUCACUUUCAACAUUAACAAAGUUAUGAUGUUUUGUGGAAUGAAAAAUGGAGCAAUUCGAGUCUAUGUCCUAAAUCAAAAUGAUCCUUCAUUGACCAGUUUGGUGGACUACUGGCACUUCAAUAUGCAUGACAAUAAUUAUGGAUGUAUUAAAAGUAUUGCUAAUAGCUUUGAUGAUCGUUUCUUGGUGACUGCUGGAGCAGAUGGCAAUAUCUUUGUUUUCAACAUUUUUUCUGAAUUUAUGCUAAGGAAAGACAUGAAGGCCAAAGUUCCAUCUCCCAGGUUUGGAAUUGAAACAGAGCCAAUUCCAGAAGACAUUGAAGAUCCCAAAGCCUACAGUAUCGAGAAUGCUAGGAGAAAAAGAGAACAUGACAAGUUAAUGAAAGAAGUGGGAGAAAUAAAGGCACGGAAGAGAGAGCAAAUCAAAGCUUUGAGGAGUGAAUUUUGUAAUCUAUUAGAAAUGAAUGAAAAAUUACCAAAGCAUAUGCAGUUUAAACGAACAGAUUUUGAUGUAGAUUCCCAAAUCCGUGCUGAGAUGCACAGAAAAACAGCUUUCAAAAUUCAACAAGUGGAAAAGGAAUUAGCUUGGGAAAAAGAGAAACAUGAACUCGGCCUAAUGAAGCUAAAGAAUCGAUUUCGAGAUCCACUGGAAAGUGAUACUAUUGUGGUUCAUGCCAUACUGAGUGACCACAAGAUAUCCUCUUACAGGCUGGUGCAGCCCUCUAAGUACUCCAAAUUCAAACGAGCUAGUCAAUCAGAGAGAAAACCAAGCAAAUUGGACAGGUUUGAAAAAGAGGGACCUGGAAGAAAGGACAGCCAGAGAGAUGCAGGUGGGAGUGUUACCAUACAAGAAGAAUCAAUAAUAGAAAAAGGGAAGAAAUUUCGGCCUAAAACCCUAAGUGAAAUCAUCGUGGAAAAUCAAAUUGAGAAAACGAGAAAACUUAUAUUAAAAGCUGAAAGGGCACAACUAAAGAUUCAACAGCGAAAAAAAGAAUGGGAGGAACUGUCCAUGGAAAUAAAAGGCACAUGAACAAGUGCAUUCUCUCUCUUAGAGACCUUAAAGUGGCUGUUGUUGAGGAAAUACAGUGCCUGGUACAAGAACUGAAGAACAUUCAGUCGACUCUUCACAUAUCCAAGCACAUACCCAUUCCCAAAAUUCCUCAGAUACACCCAGAAGAAGUUCCAGAAAAGAGAUUUCAGUAUGAUGAAGAAACUCUCCUAAAUUUUAAGCAACAGCAAAUGAAAAGUAAAGAUGAAAAGUCCCCCGGAGUGGAACAGACAGGGUCUGGAGGCCCAGUUGGAGGAUUCCUCAAACUCUCUUCUAGAAAGGAUGGGGAUUUGACAACCCGUGAUUCAAUAUCUAGAUCAUCAAAGGCAUCAACAUUCAGCCUAGAUAUACCAAAGUGUUUGGAAUUUGAAAAAGCAGAGCCAACGGAUGUGGAGCUGGAAAUUAUGAAGAGAGACGAGAUUAAACACGUGUACAUGCAACAGUAUUUGGUCAACAGGAUCAAAGAACUGGUUGUCACUUUCGAUGCAGAACUCCGUCUCCUUAGACAUCAGAAACUAAAACUAGAUACUCAGAUGAAAUUAUCUGACCUGCACCAUGUCACCUUAUUUCAAGAAAUACUUCUCCUGAAGAAUUUUGAAAAACAGGAGAACAUACUUCAAGAACGUGUUAAUUCCUUAGACAAAGAGGAACAGUACAUGCAAUGGAAAAUAAAUGAAACUCUUAAAGAGAUGGAAGAGAAAAAGAAUGAAAUCACCAAACUCCAGGAGCAAGAAAAGGCACUCUAUGCUGGUUUUCAAGCAGCCAUUGGAGAAAACAAUAAAUUUGCAAACUUCCUCAUGAAGGUCCUAAAGAAGAAGAUUAAACGGGUAAAGAAAAAAGAAGUUGAAGGAGAUGCUGAUGAAGAUGAGGAGAGUGAGGAAUCAAGUGAAGAAGAAUCUAGCUUGGAGAGUGAUGAAGAUGAGUCUGAAUCAGAAGAUGAGGUUUUUGAUGAUUCUAUUUGCCCAACAAAUUGUGAUGUGGCUCUUUUUGAGCUGGCCCUUCACCUUCGAGAGAAAAGGCUGGACAUUGAGGAGGCUUUAGUUGAAGAAAAGAAAAUUGUUGAUAACCUCAAAAAGGAAUAUGAUACAUUGUCAAAAAAAGUGAAAAUUGUGGCAACUAAUCUGAAUGCAGCAGAGGAGGCCCUGGAGGCUUAUCAGCGAGAGAAGCAGCAGCGGCUGAAUGAACUGCUAGUUGUGAUUCCGCUCAAGCUCCACCAGAUAGAGUAUGUGGUAUUUGGAGAAAUACCUAGCGAUCUUUCUGGUACUUUGGUCUUCUCUAACCAUGCCUUGAGACGGCUGCAAGAACGAAUCCAUGAGCUCCAGGAGGAAAAUUCCAAGCAGCAAAAACUUAACAAAGAAUGGAGAGAGAGACGUAAACAGCUCAUCCGAGAAAAGAGAGAAAUGACAAAAACCAUACACAAAAUGGAGGAAACAGUCCGGCAGCUCAUGAUCAGCAAGUUUGGCCGUGUGGUAAAUCUAGAAGCCCUUCAAACGCUUUCUGUUAAUACAACACUUGAAGAACUGAAGAUCAGAAAACUUCGAAAGGAGCUAGCAAAUGCGAAAGAGAUGAAGAUGUGGGAGGAAAAGAUUGCUCAAAUGCGAUGGGAACUGAUGAUGAAGACAAAAGAACACACCAGAAAGCUUUAUCAGAUGAAUGAUUUGUGUAUUGAAAAGAAGAAACUUGAUUCUCGGUUGAAUACACUACAGAAUCAGCAGGGCAAUGCCUUCCAGGGCCCUCGGGAAGCAGAUGUUGUGGCAAGAGAGGAGGUCACUGAAUUGAUCCAACUCCAGGCGGAAAGGAUUUCGGCCUUAAAGGAGGAGAUUGCUCUUUUGCGUAGGAAAGGCAGUCUUAUCCUCCCACCCAUUCAGUCUCCACGAGAGAAAGAGAUACAGCCCGCAGACCUUUGAGUUUGCUAUUUUCUCAAACCCAUACAAGAUUUCUGACAUAACUCACUGGAAGUUCUGUCUCCUCAUCACCUCCAACAAUCUUAUUACUUUAAACUGAACUCGCCUGAAAGUGUAAAACCAGAUCCAGUCACGUUAAGUCACUUUAAGAAUCUCUCUACAAUUUGGUUAUCUUAGAACUGACUGCAGCACCCAACCUCUGUUAUGAAACUGAAUCAUUUUAGAUGUUUCGAACCUACUAGAUUGAAUAUGAAGUCUCGGAAGGCUGUGUUUCAUGAUUGCAGCAAAUCACCUGUAAUAUAUUUUGUUUUAGGAAAAUUUGAUUUGGGGGUAUCCUGAAUUUUUAGCCCUUGGCAAGAAAAACUAUCAUUCAGCAAUUCAUGAGAAAACUUUGUUUUCUUGAUCCUUAGAAAAUAAACUUAGAUGUUAUUAAGUGUUCUCUGAGAGGAUGCAGGAGAAAAGGACAUUUUGUCAGCUAUAUCUUAGAAUAGAAAUGCAAAUUUCAGUUUUGGCAUUGUUGACUUCAUAAAGCAGUGUUUUGAGGGCUCAGGAUUCAGGAAAUACAAACAGACAUGGCAGAGCAGUUUGCUUUGGGUUGGCAGAAAGCAGGAAAAUAACCAGCCUUCUUGGAUUGCCCACAGUUUUUGUAGACUCCUCAGUUCUGAGUGGAGCAGAGGGGCAUGCUUAAUAAAACAGUCAAUAAAGAGGCUUUUCUUUAAAGAUUUCUGCAACUCCGUCAGAAUUCUAAGUUUUCCCCAUAGUUUCUCAUGUCCCCUGCCAUUUUCUUUCAGGUUUUACUUGGGCCAUUUGCUGGUUUUGAUAUAGAUGAGGAGAUAAUGAAAUAGAUUUACUAGAGAUCAUCUUUAACAAUCACCUUUGAUUAUGCAUAACAUUUUAAACUAAUUGAAGAGUAUCCUUUUGGUUUGGGGGUAAGUGCUCAUUGAAGUUCAUGGCUAUAACCAUUGCAGGAUAAUCUCACUGACAUUUGGAAUCCUGUUAGUAACAGAGCAUAGCUCUUUAGAUUAAGAGCUCUGUAUUAACGAGCUACUCAUUGAGGCUGUUCCAGGAUAAGCUGGUCACUGAGAAGGGCGGGUGAAGAAAGGAACAUUGCAUAAAUGUAGAAGGGAACUCAGCAAUGCCAAGUCUUCCUCACCUGUGAUUAGCCUGCUAAUGUGCCCCCCAAAAUUACAGACAGGUCUUGCUUUCUUUGUACAUCAGCAUAUUCUUAGAGGUGGCCACUUGGCCUAUUGUCUUCCUAAGAUUCCUUCAUAUUCCUAUUUAAGAGGUCAGAAUACCUUAUUGUUUGCACUUGUCACCAUUAAUUUCUGAUGUAGUCACUUCUCUACUGGAGAGCACCCACUUUUUUUUUUAAAUCACUUUCUGUGUUGUAUAUCCUAAGCCAUGUGUGCCUUUCAAGUAUUUUUAAAAAUAUGCUAGUCAUAGCCCUGAGUGUCUUAUUUAUUGCGGUAAAAAAUUACCCCCAAACUUAGCUUGAAACAACAAACUUGUGAUCUCACCCAGGAGUGAGAGGGUUUCUGAGGUCCAGGAAUCUGGGGACAGCUUGGCCGGGUGUUCUGGCUCAGGGUCUUUCGUGGAGUUGCAGUCACACUAGGAGCUGGGGCUGCAGCCAUCUGAAGCUUGGCUGGAGCUGGAGGGGCUAUUAGCAAAUUCACUCCCUUGGCCAUUAGGCAGGGCUUCAGUUCCUCGCCAUGUGGGCCUCUCCAUAGGGCCGCUUGGGAUAUGACUUCUCCCAGAGCAAGUGAUCCAAGAGUGAGGGAGACAGCAAGAGAGAAUGAUGUAUACAAGAGCCACAGUCUUUUACAGCCCAAGCUCAGAAGUGACAUAGCGUCACUAUUGUCAUAUGGGUCACAGGCUGACCCUGUGUGAUGUGGGAGGGGACUGAACAGGGUGUGAAUGCCAGGUGGGGGUCACCGGGGCCUUCGUGGGAGCUGGCAGCCACAAGAAGCAGCUGCCUGGAGAGAGUGGCUGGUCUCUGAGAAAGGUCUUGAGGCGAUACCAUCCCCUUGGUAAUUGUAGAGAAUCAGGAGAAGUUACGUUAUCUUCCUGGGCCUCAUUUUAUUAUCUGACAAAUGAAGGAUUGGUAGAAUGGGUUCCUUCCCAUUCUGAGAUUCUGAUUCUGAUUGCAGCAAGAAUGGACCUACAGUCUACAGAAGAGCCACAUCAGGACUUGCUGUGCAUUUCAACUGAGAGGAAAGCUAAUCGGGAUAAUUAUUCCCAAACUGAGCUGGACUAAAUCACUAGUUAAUUCUACAAUAUUCAGGGCUUCAUUCCGCAUGUUUGGGAAUUGACGACAGUUAACACUGAAUUACUUUAUUUUGAAUUGGACAAAAUAUGUUGAUAGCUUUAGGUUCAUUUCAACUUGAUUCCAGGCUUAGUCUUAAAUCUGUAGUUAAGUUAGAGCAUCUGAGUCUUUGGGAAGUUAAGCUUCAAACACAAGUAGACCAGCAGGGUGUGGCAUGGGCAGGGUGGCUGGGAAGCUAUCCUGCUCCUGGCACACUUCCCUGCCUUCUGCUGUGCUCCCAGAGGAGCAGCCUCACCUCUGAGGGUAAGGCCAAAAAUCAGCCUACACUGAGUUACUUGUGGGUCAAUUGUUCAUAUAACUUGGCUCUUCUGAACUGUCAUCCAUAGUAUCACCGAUGAUCAAUCUCAGCAUUGGAAGAAAAAGAAACCACAGAGUCCAGCCCCUCUGUCACAACUUCAGAGUAAAGGAGUUGCUCAUGCCUGCCAGCCAGCCUGUCCCACCACAGCGGGCUCCCCAGCUUAGGGAGGUCUGUGAGCCAUGUGCUAAAUUUCUCUUUAGAGCUAAAUCCAUUGAGUGCUAUGAUUCCAGUGCUGUGCAGAAAGCAGAUGUUUCACCUAUCACUUCAGAAAAGUUCACCAGACUUCAUUUUGACAGCUACCUUAGAUCAUCAAGGAGAAAAAGGAAAAAAUGUAAAAACCAGUGGGGCUAGAAGGUGAGUUACAGCUCAGAUUGGGGGGCCUCUGGAUAGCAAAGCAAUGACUGAGAGCGUCAGCCCUACCCACCCCAGAAGUGAGCUCUGGGCCGUGAUGCCAGGUUGUCUGAAAUCACAGUAUCUUAUUUUUUCUCUUCUCUUCCCUGCUCUGCUUCUCAUUUCCUAACAUUUACCUGUUCCUUACAGUCCUUCCUUUUAAAUAAUAUUUUUAAAAUACUGCUUUCCUGAAAACCAUGCUGCACUUCCACAUGAAGUUCUCUCUGACGUUGAGCUUGAUGGAAAAAGGAUGCAGAAGUCAGGAAUAGCAGGUGCUAUACUUAUUUUGGCCAGCAGAGGAUGCACUUGCCCUAAACAGUCAGAGUGACUCUUCCCUAGGACCCUGUUUAUCAAAUUCUUCAUGUUUAAAAGCCAGGGUCUGGCCCCCCACUUAACGAGAUUGUCUCAAGUGGCAUUUCAUCUGUAACUCAAUUUUACAGAAAUCUAGAAAAUACAGGCUCCCCCCACCCUCUCCAGCCCCAAAACACAAAGCGUAGUAAGGCUUUCAUUGCAAGCAUCAGUCUCCAUCUAAUUCCACUUCCACAUAUAAAGAUUUUAAAAUUUCAAUUAAAAAAGAAUCUAUGGUUGAUCCUUUGGUUGGACAACAGUAAGUAAAUGUUGAUUUUAAACUAGUGAGUCAACUACUCUGGCAAUGUUGGUGUAUCUUUGGAAAGAAGGGAAGUGAAUUUAUUAUGCACCAUAUGUCCAUGUGUGGCACAGCACUUAGCUAAACAGUAUUUUGGAGAAAAUAUUUGGUCUUCAACACACACCUAUAUAAAAAAGAUUAGUUCUAUUUCUUCAAUAUGACCUAAACUUCAUCUCAAGUCCAGUUGGUAAGAGAACUAUGAACCUGUUUUUCCUGGUCUGUUGUACAACGGUUCCCUUGUGGACUAAACGGUAAUGUGUUCUGCAUGAAUCCAAGCACAACUGACAUUCACUGUUUUAAAAAACAAAAAAGAGAAACAUUUACUACCUUUUUCAGAUCUCAUUUCUGAUGGACCUGAAAAUAUUGUAAGUGGGUAUUUUCUUCAAAUACUCAGAGACUGAAUUCUAACAUGUAAAGAAAAUGCUGACUCACACAUGACUCAGUUUGAAGGUUACAGGGAAGACUAAACAUUUAUUUAGAAGUUACAGUGUUUGUUUUUACAGAGAUAUGUUGCCACGGAUUAUUGAUUCUGGAAGGUUUUUUAAUGCUCAUAGUGCUGUACACAUCUUGGUCUGUUCUCAUGGGCAUCUUAGGAAAAUGUUUCCCGUAGCACCGGAUCCAGCCAUCUGUGUGGGUGUCUCCAGGCUGUGAUACCGUGCCCCUUGCUGUUCCCUCAUGCUCGUGAUGAACCAUGUGCCUGGGAUCCUUCCUCUUGCCAGCUUAUCUGUGGGCCUCCUGCAGCCUCGCCUGCCACUGCAGAGGCCCCAGGUUAGGAGUCUGUCCCGCGCCAGCCUGUGCGGUGCUUUCCUGGGUGACUCCUGUUAGGUGGCAGCUUCUUUAUUUUCCCUCUCCAACCUCAACGGGUAGGACUCCUUAUGUCUCUCCAGAAUUAUAAAACAUAUACAUUUAUUUACAAGUGCAUAAAUAUAUAAAUAUGGCUAUAAUAGAAAAAUAAAUACCAAUUUUCUCUGUC
rnacentral:lncRNA from 1 species